CCUUUGUACACACCGCCCGUCGCUACUACCGAUUGAAUGGCUCAGUGAGGCGUCCGGACUGGCCUGGAGAGGUGGGCAACUACCACUCCGGGCCGGGAAGCUCUCCAAACUCGGUCAUUUAGAGG
rnacentral:rRNA from 1 species